CCUACGGGGGGCUGCAGUGGGGAAUAUUGGACAAUGGGCGAGAGCCUGAUCCAGCCAUGCCGCGUGUGUGAAGAAGGCCUUCGGGUUGUAAAGCACUUUCAGUGGGGAAGAAAGCCUUGGGGCUAAUACCCUCGAGGAAGGACAUCACCCACAGAAGAAGCACCGGCUAACUCCGUGCCAGCAGCCGCGGUAAUACGGAGGGUGCGAGCGUUAAUCGGAAUUACUGGGCGUAAAGCGCGCGUAGGCGGUCUGAUAAGCCGGUUGUGAAAGCCCCGGGCUCAACCUGGGAACGGCAUCCGGAACUGUCAGGCUAGAGUGCAGGAGAGGAAGGUAGAAUUCCCGGUGUAGCGGUGAAAUGCGUAGAGAUCUGGAGGAAUACCAGUGGCGAAGGCGGCCUUCUGGACUGACACUGACGCUGAGGUGCGAAAGCGUGGGUAGCAAACAGGAUUAGAUACCCGGGUAGUC
rnacentral:rRNA from 1 species